rnacentral:rRNA from 1 species
AACGAACGCUGGCGGCAUGCCUAACACAUGCAAGUCGAACGAGACCUUCGGGUCUAGUGGCGCACGGGUGCGUAACGCGUGGGAACCUGCCCUUAGGUUCGGAAUAACUCCCCGAAAGGGGUGCUAAUACCGGAUAAUGUCUUCGGACCAAAGAUUUAUCGUCUUUGGAUGGGCCCGCGUUGGAUUAGCUAGUUGGUAGGGUAAAAGCCUACCAAGGCGACGAUCCAUAGCUGGUCUGAGAGGAUGAUCAGCCACACUGGGACUGAGACACGGCCCAGACUCCUGCGGGAGGCAGCAGUGGGGAAUAUUGGACAAUGGGCGAGAGCCUGAUCCAGCAAUGCCGCGUGAGUGAUGAAGGCCUUAGGGUUGUAAAGCUCUUUUACCCGGGAUGAUAAUGACAGUACCGGGAGAAUAAGCGCCGGCUAACUCCGUG